GGGGGAGGGCCAGUGCCGUAGACAGGGCCAGCCCACAGGCGUGAGGCCAGAGUUAGUGGUGGGCUCCUGUGGGUCUGCACUGCACCCCAACCACGGACAGGCAGUGUUCUGAAAGGCCACACAGCCGCACCCCGAUGGGUAGAGUGUCGUCAGCCGUGUCCCAAAACUCCAGAAUCUCCCUCCCUGUCUCCACAUCCAUGAAGGACUCAUCUUGCAUGAAGGUACACCAGGACUCUGCCCGCAGGGACAAAUGGUCACACCCCACCACCAUCUUGCUUCACAAGUCGCAGAGCAGCCAGGCCACACUGAUGCCACAGGAGCACAGGAUGUUCACGGCGGAAGCCUACAGUGCAGCCACCUGCUUCAAGAUGCUGCAGGACAUGAACAGUGCUGACCCCUUCCACUUGAAGUACAUCAUCAAGAAGAUCAAGAACAUGGCUCAUGGCUCCCCCAAGCUGGUGAUGGAAACCAUCCACGACUACUUCAGAGACAACCCAGAAAUCUCCAGCAGGCACAAGUUCCGGCUGUUCCAGACCCUGGAGAUGGUCAUCAGGGCCAGUGACGUCCUGGAGGAGACCUGGGAGAAAACUUUCACACGGCUCGCUCUGGAGAACAUGACCAAGGCCACGGAGCUGGAAGACAUAUACCAGGACGCGGCCAGCAACGUGCUGGUGGCCAUCUGCAGGCACUCGUGGCGGGCGGUGGCGCAGCAUCUGGAGACGGAGCUCCUGACGGGCGUCUUCCCACACAGAAGCCUCCUCUACGUGAUGGGCGUCCUGUCCUCCAGCGGUCAGUGUUGCAACAGCUGGACCUGGACGGAGCCAGGAUGACAGAGGAGGUCCCAGGAGGUGGCCCAGGACAGGUGUGAGGCUGGCACAUGGCCGGGCAACCCCACUGCCAGCUGCUGCAUCUGUCUCCUCCCUUGGUCACAUGAGGCAGGUGGGCAUUCCUCCCCUGGAAGGUGAAGAGAUGGAGCUCAGAGAGGCAGCAUGGCCGACCAGGGCCACUCCCAGCCUGUCACAGCCGGCAGUGUCUGGGCCCUGC
rnacentral:lncRNA from 1 species